UUAGAGGGUAAAAUGGGAACAGAACAACUUGCAAAGCACACUACUUAUCUUUGUGUACAAUUACAAGGGAAGCUGAACUCUGAGACAAAACUCUCAGAUUGCUGACUAACAUCAUAAUGGCAGCCUGUCAUCAGAGAUACCAGGACCAGGACUGAGUCUGGACUGAACAACACGUACUCUUUCCUCCUUCAGCUGAGGUACAAACAAACCAAACUGUCCCACUGGGGCUGCUCAGUAGUCAGCAGUUUAAGACUGUGUAUGAGUUGUGUGAUUCAGGACCAAAGCUUUUUGGUCAGUCAAUUUGCAGUACCAUAGCUCUAUGAUAGCUAAUUUUCUCACCGAAUUAGAUGUGAAAAUAUCGGAAGAGGAGCGAGAGGGAGGUCGGGCAUCAGAGAGGCAGCGUGCAGAACCAGAAUAUUUUCGCAUCUAACUCAGGGAAUUAAGGGUUUAUAUCGCCCAAACCAGAGUUUGUGAUUGUUGGAACAAUGGAAGGACAAACCAAGAAGGUUUUGGAGCUUCAUGGAGCUCUGACAUCAGUUUGGCCCCUCUGUGUUCAGCGGGCUGACUGCUCCAGUAUGCCUUAGCUUGGUCCAAGGGCUGGAGGUGGGGAAGGUGGCCACCAAAAGAGGAGAAAUGUGCCUCACGGUAACUCCAACAUGGUCUGUUUUUACAUGUUGUGUCUUCAUAACUGGCUCACUGACAUUAGG